AACGCACAUUGCGCCCUUUGGCAUUCCGAAGGGCAUGCCUGUUCGAGCGUCAUUACAUCAAUCACGCCUGGCGUGGUAUUGGGCGACGCGGCCGUCACACGCCGCGCGCCCCAAUGACUCCGGCGGGACGGACCGAAUCUCAGCGUUGUGGUUAAAGCCGCUGGCGAGACGGGACGCCCGUGCCGUUAAACAACCCCAUUACAGGUUGACCUCGGAUCAGGUAGGGAUACCCGCUGAACUUAA
rnacentral:misc_RNA from 1 species